UUCAUACUCCAUCCGUUCGAAAUUACUUGUCUCGGAAAUGGAUGUAUCUAGAACUAAAAUACAUCUAGAUACAUCCAUUUCUGUGACAAGUAAUUCCGAACGGAGGGAGUAGCUU
rnacentral:pre_miRNA from 1 species